CGGAUUGGGACCCGCAGGCUAUAGUGAGCAACCUAACUUUCCUUGAGCAGAAGAUCAAGCAGGUAAAAGAUGUUGUGCAGGCCAUGAGUAACCGAGAGAACCAUGUCGCUGGCGGUUCCUGUGAGCUAGCAGCAAAGCAGCAGCUCAUAACUGCUGAUCUCACUAGCAUUAUAAUCCAGCUUAUCACAACUGCUGGUUCGCUGCUCCCUUCAAUGAAGAACCCACUUAGCAGCAAUCUAGCAGUAAGGCAGCUCGGCAACACUCUUGGUUCUCCUAUGGGUUUUGGCAUGAAUACUAAUCAGCGACCAAGUGUAGACAGCAAGACCAAUAUUCCUGACAGUGGAAAGGUCUCUGAUUACGAGGAACUGAUCAAUAGCCUUAAUACUACCCAAGAUGAAAGAGAUGAGAUGAUCAAAUGCCCAAAUCCUUGUGUUGGGGAAGGGUCUGAACCGACUCCGAUGGAAGACCAUGAUGUAAAGGAGAGUGAUGAUGGUGAGCAUGAGGGAGAGAAUCUCCCCCCUGGUUCUUAUGUAGUAUUACAAUUGGAAAAGGAGGAGAUUUUAGCACCACAUACUCAUUUCUGCUUGAUCUGUGGGAAGGGCUUCAAGAGAGAUGCUAACCUAAGGAUGCAUAUGAGGGGCCAUGGAGAUGAGUACAAGACUGCUGCAGCUCUUGCCAAACCCACGAAAGAUUCUGGUUCAGAGCAUGCACCAGUUACAAGGUACUCAUGCCCAUUUGUGGGUUGCAAGCGGAACAAAGAGCACAAGAAGUUCCAGCCUCUCAAGACAAUAUUGUGUGUGAAGAACCAUUACAAGCGAAGCCAUUGUGACAAGAGCUAUACCUGCAGCCGCUGCAACACCAAAAAGUUCUCUGUGAUCGCCGACUUGAAGACUCACGAGAAGCAUUGUGGUCGUGACAAGUGGCUCUGUUCUUGCGGAACAACCUUCUCAAGGAAGGACAAGCUUUUCGGGCAUGUUGCGCUUUUCCAGGGCCACACACCUGCGCUCCCCAUGGAUGAUGUCAAGAUAUCAGAAGCAUCAGAGCAACAGCAGGGCAGCGAGCCCAUGAACGAAAUUUCGAGGAGCGUGGGGUGCUUCCCUUGCAGCUCGUCUGAUGGCAUUUCAAACCUCGACAUGAAAAUGGCUGAUGAUGCGCGCGGUUAUUACUCACCGAUGAGCUUUGAUCCUUGCUUUGGCACGCUCGAUGACUUCACUCGCCCUGGAUUCGACAUCUCUGAGGACCCCUUCUCCUUUCUGCCUUCGGGAUGCAGUUAUGUACAGCAGAAUGGAGACAACUGAUGGGGCUCAUCGUGGAUGACGACGACAAUGGCGCUGGCAACCUUUAUGUAUGAUGUAUGGCUGUAUGCAUGAUGCUAGUCUGGUUCUUGCUAUGUUUAAGGGUCAUUUUAGGUUAUGACUUUCUUUUCCUUAAGUGUCACUUCAUUUGGUGGUCAUCAAUAAUGAGCACUUCUAGCAUUUCGUAGACUGAGAUAGCCCCAGUUUUCAGUACAUACAUGCAAUUGUUACAUUUUUCAUUUUUAUCUGAAUUGGCUACAUGCUUGUGGUACCGAUACCUUGUCAUAACAGAGGACAAACGUUUAGCUGAGUGAAAUCCCAUGGUACAGAUCAGAGAUAACAAGCUGCUCAGCUGUUAAUCUGGUUCUCCCAUGUAGUCACGGCCUGCUAUUUGCUGGGAAAAAGAGCAUGAGUUCCUAGCAAGCGAUCCUUCUCCCGAAACAUGGGUGUGCUAGAUUUGUGCAGAGCUUGAUCUGGUGUAAUUUCUUUUCGCUACUGCACCCUGACAAAGUGAUAAUGAUGGCAUUGGAUACAGUCAUACAGAGAAUUCUUGUUGCUCUUUCUCUGACUGACUUCCUCUCUGAAUUUGCAAGCCGGUUGGAAUUGGAACUGUGGUGGCAGGUUGAAGAUGUGGAAAUCAACGAAGAAAUUGAAGCCUAAUUUUCCGACCUCCGACACCUACCAAACCGCGCCCACCAACCACCAUUGCCGCACCACCUUCAUCUGGUCGACUGCAAUCUUGCAGACUUGCUAGUGCAGCUCGGGUCACACAGCAGGCGACAACAAGCAAGGGCAGGCCCAUUGCUCUGGCUGCUGUUAAGCUGAGGGACAAGGCAACUGCCAACUAGCCACUUCUAUGACCCCCGCCGCCGCCGCCGCCUCGUCGGGCCCGUCCUUCUCCACCCUCACCAAGCCCGUCUCCUCUGGUUCCAACUCCGUCUGCUUCGUCAGGUAAGCAGCCGACCUGUGCAGAGACCCUCGAUCGGGAACACCUUCGCUCAGUUCUUGCAGCGAUCGGUUGGUUGCUUCAUUCCGAUUUCCGAAUCAGUGAAUGAAUUAACCAACAAGCGGUUCGUUUCCUUGCAUUGGAUGGCUGCGCCUCAGGGCAUUCGGGGGGAGAAAGCCCGCGGCGAGGGCCAGGAUGGCGGCGGUGCGGGCGGAAGCGGUGGACACGUCCAUCAGCCCGAGGGUGAACUCGCUUCGGCCGUCCGAGACCAUCGCCAUCACUGACCAGGCCACGGCGCUGCGGCUAGCCGGCGUGCCGGUCAUCGGCCUAGCCGCGGGGGAGCCAGACUUCGACACGCCGUCCGCGAUCGCCGAGGUGGGGGGACGCCUGCUCUGAUUUCCCCCCGAUUUGACCUUCGGUUUUGGCUCAUUGAGUUUAGUGCACUUGUGAAAUCAGACUUAAUCACGUUAUUGUUGAACAAUGGAUUUAGAUAUUUAGUAAGAAUGUCUAUUAUCAAUGUGGGAUAUUUCAGGUAAACAUUAUCGUUGCUUCGCUUUGAUCCAGGCUGGGAUGAAUGCAAUUAGGGACGGUUGUACAAGGUACACUCCUAAUGCCAGGACUUUGGAGCUGAGAAAGGCUAUUUGCGCUAAACUCCAGGGUGUGUGGGUGUAUGACUCUGCGGAUGGAUUUCUUCUUCAACGCUAAUAAGACUUAAGUUAAAAGAUUGAACGCCUUCAUGUUUAUUAUGACUAUACAGAGGAGAAUGGGAUACCCUAUAGCCCUGACAAGGUGCUAGUGAGCAAUGGCGCUAAGCAGUGCAUUACACAAGCGGUGCUUGCAGUUUGCUCCCCUGGUGAUGAGGUGAGCACUUUGUCCUGCUACUGCCACACAGUAACGCAUGAAACCUCUAUAGUUGGUACUGUAUUAUUAGUAUCUAUGUGAGCAUAGGCACCAAUUUUCUUAACUUUGGGUAUUGCUUCUUGGAGUUGUUUAGGAUUGUGUUUUUCAGCCUAUGUUAGAAUGGCGAAUAUCCAAAUCGAACCUUACCGUUGAAUUUGGAGAUGCGGUCUCAAGGAAUUCUAGUGUUGUUUAUUGUACAAGUAUGUCACUUGUUGAUAAUUCGUUAGUAGGUGUUGUUCAUAGGACUAUGUUGUUUCCUGUAUAAUAAUUUUCUUGAUUUGCAUCGCUAGAGGAGUUUAUGUGGCAGAUUACUUUAUUACCUAGAAAUGUAACUGGUUAGGAAGACAGGUAUUGUCACUGAAGCGUUUUACGAAAUUUGGCAUGCCCUCAUAUAAGACAGAUGCUUGUUGUUCAUAGAAUUAAAACAUUAUGUGCUGAUGUUUACCUUAGUAAUGUCGUGGGAUCCCUUUGUUUUAGGUUUUGAUUCCAGCACCAUACUGGGUCAAUUAUCCUGAGAUGGCUAGAUUGGCUGAUGCAACUCCAGUGAUUCUUCCUACAAAAAUAUCAGAGAAUUUCUUGUUAAGGCCAGAGUUGCUUGCCGAGAAGAUCAAUGAGAAAUCAAGGCUCUUAAUUCUCUGCUCACACUCUAAUCCAACAGGGUCAGUAUAUCCGAAAAAGUUAAUUGAGGAAAUAGCUGAUAUAGUCAAGAAGCAUCCUAGGCUUCUGGUAGGUUCUUUGGUUUAUGUGGUUUUUUAAUCAAGUUAUGAUCUGCUGUUACAUUUUUCUUGAUGAAUGUUAUGACAUAUCAUUUUUUUUCAUGUUUUAUCUGAUGAAAUCUAUGAGCAUAUUAUCUAUCAGCCUGCAAAACUCACAAGCUUUGCAUCGCUGCCUGGAAUGUGGGAAAGAACAUUAACUGUAAAUGGUUUUUCUAAGGUAGAAAUGUUUUUUGUUUACUUUGGUAUCCACUCUACCACUCUUCAAGAACACAAGAUUGUUCAUAAUUAAAAAUAUUAGAAUGUACUGUUCUUCAGAACUAGAUGCCUAAUCAAAUCCAGGUGGGGGAUCCUCUCUUCUUCCGUUGACCAUAAAAAAAAAA
rnacentral:lncRNA from 1 species